CCGCCGUAGCGCUGGGGUUGGCAGGAGGACAGCUCCGGGACCCGUUGUGUACCCGAUGGCCUCAGAAAGCGCCGAUGUGCAGUGUGAGCCUCUAAAUAUCCCCAUCAGUUCCACUUUGCCACAUCCUAUAGACCCGCGGUGAGGGGGCCGAAAAGUCGUGGUAUACUUCUAGGAUGUAUGAUGCAGCGCCAUCUGCCGGUGCUCGUCUUCCUCUACGUGCUACGUAGCAGCACCCUCUGACGGUGGGACACGCCUGCGAUGAGUAGGCUAUCGCCGUCUUGUAGCCCUGGUCAGCAGCUGUUGCUCUGAUCAGGAAAAUAGACAUACAGAAAAACGUGGAGCUCAUCCUAAAGAAGCUGGGGCAACUGGUGCAUUAUGUCGGGCCUUAAAACGGCCAACCGCAUACUCGCGCGGUGCAGGCAACUCAGUUGCCUGACAUGGCAACUCCGUCGCCAUCCAUCUUGGGCCGGUGAGAGGAGGAGAGAAACUCACCCCGGGAGCUUCGUGAGUGUUAUGACCAUGGCAGAUUGCUUUAAAAUCCUGAUUGACGACCUUCUUGGGUUUGGACACGGUCUGCUCGGGCCAGGAGUCCAGAGUAAAGCUCAGUAGGCAUCGCGCCCAUAGGCCAGUCACUUCACUCAGUGGCUGCUACCGCCGACUCUGGAGACUCGGAAGAAAAGAACCGCCAGCCUGGAUCGGAGGCGGGCACAACGAGGAGGAGCUCGACCAGCCCUGAUAGCCAGAACGGUAACU